AAUGGGCGCAAGCCUGAUGCAGCCAUGCCGCGUGUGUGAAGAAGGCCUUAGGGUUGUAAAGCACUUUCAGCAAGGAGGAAGGCCUGAUGGUUAAUACCUAUCGGGAUUGACGUUACUUGCAGAAGAAGCACCGGCUAACUCCGUGCCAGCAGCCGCGGUAAUACGGAGGGUGCAAGCGUUAAUCGGAAUUACUGGGCGUAAAGCGCGCGUAGGCGGUUUGGUCAGUUGGAUGUGAAAGCCCCGGGCUUAACCUGGGAACUGCAUUCAAUACUGCCAAACUAGAGUGUAAGAGAGGAGAGUAGAAUUCCUAGUGUAGCGGUGAAAUGCGUAGAUAUUAGGAGGAAUACCAGUGGCGAAGGCGGCUCUCUGGCUUAACACUGACGCUGAGGUGCGAAAGCGUGGGUAGCGAACAGGAUU
rnacentral:rRNA from 1 species